rnacentral:tRNA from 2 species
GCGGGGGUUGCCAAGCCCGGUCAACGGCGCAGGACUUCACGUGCGAUGCUUAGAAAGAGCUUGGAAGUUUCCUAUAACCCUGUUCCUUAGGGAUUCGUGGGUUCGAAUCCCACUCCCCGCA